rnacentral:rRNA from 1 species
GACGAACGCUGGCGGCGGGCUUAACACAUGCAAGUCGAACGGAAAGGCCCGGCUUUUGGGGGGUGCUCGAGGGGCGAACGGGGGAGUAACACGUGAGUAACCUGUCCUUGACGGUGGGAUAACCUAAGGAAACUGGGGCUAAUACGGGAUAGGAGCUCCUGCCGCAUGGGGGGGGUGGGAAAGUUUCGGCGGUUGGGGAUGGACUCGCGGCUUAUCAGCUUGUUGGUGGGGUAGUGGCUUACCCAGGCUUUGACGCGUAGACGGCCUGAGAGGGUGACCUGCCCCGUUGGGUCUGGGCUGCGGCCCGGCCUCCUCCGGGAGGCAGCGGUGCGGAAUAUUGCCCUAUGGGCGGAAGCCUGAUGCAACGCCGCCGCGUGCGGUAAGUCGUCCUUCGGUUUGUAUACCGCAUUCGCCUGUGACGAAGCGUGAGUGACGGUAAUGGGUGAAGAAGCACCGGCUAACUUCGUG